UACGAGGUUGACUCAGCGCAGAUCUUGG
rnacentral:sRNA from 1 species